rnacentral:rRNA from 1 species
AGAGUUUGAUCCUGGCUCAGGAUGAACGCUAGCGGCAGGCCUAAUACAUGCAAGACGAGCGGUAAUUCAAAUAGCAAUAUUUGGACUAGAGCGUCGUAAGGGUGCGUAACACGUAUGCAAUCUGCCCGGAACAGGAGGAUAGCUCGGGGAAACUCGAAUUAACACUCCAUAAGACAGUGGUGUGGCAUCACACAGCUGUUAAAUCUACGGAGGUUCCGGAUGAGCAUGCGGAUGAUUAGCUAGUUGGCGGUGUAACGGACCACCAAGGCAAUGAUCAAUAGGGGAACUGAGAGGUUGAUCCCCCACACUGGCACUGAGAUACGGGCCAGACUCCUACGGGAGGCAGCAGUAGGGAAUAUUGGACAAUGGGUGCAAGCCUGAUCCAGCCAUGCCGCGUGCAGGAAGAAGGCUUUCUGAGUUGUAAACUGCUUUUGCCAGGGGAUAAAAUACGGGUGCGCCCGGAAUUGAAGGUACCUGGUGAAUAAGCCACGGCUAACUACGUGCCAGCAGCCACGGUAAUACGAAGGAUCCAAGCGUUGUCCGGAUUUAUUGGGUUUAAAGGGUGCGUAGGCGGAUCUUUAAGUCAGUGGUGAAAGCCUGCAGCUUAACUGUAGAACAGCCAUUGAAACUGAAGAUCUUGAAUAUGGUUAAAGUAGGCGGAAUGUAUCAUGUAGCGGUGAAAUGCUUAGAUAUGAUACAGAACACCGAUAGCGAAGGCAGCUUGCUGAACCAUUAUUGACGCUGAGGCACGAAAGCGUGGGGAGCGAACAGGAUUAGAUACCCUGGUAGUCCACGCCCUAAACGUUGAUUACUCGUUGUUGGCGAUAUACUGUCAGCGACCAAGCUAAAGCGUUAAGUAAUCCACCUGGGAAGUACGACCGCAAGGUUGAAACUCAAAGGAAUUGACGGGGGCCCGCACAAGCGGAGGAGCAUGUGGUUUAAUUCGAUGAUACGCGAGGAACCUUACCUGGGCUUGAAAGUUAGUGACCGCUCCUGAAAGGGAGCUUCUCUUCGGAGCACAAAACUAGGUGCUGCAUGGCUGUCGUCAGCUCGUGCCGUGAGGUGUUGGGUUAAGUCCCGCAACGAGCGCAACCCCUUUCUUUAGUUGCCAUCAGGUUAUGCUGGGGACUCUAAAGAUACUGCCUACGUAAGUAGUGAGGAAGGCGGGGACGACGUCAAGUCAUCAUGGCCCUUACGUCCAGGGCUACACACGUGCUACAAUGGGCGUCACAAUUGGUUGCUACCUGGUAACAGGAUGCUAAUCCCAAAAAGACGUUCUCAGUUCGGAUUGAGGUCUGCAACUCGACCUCAUGAAGCUGGAUUCGCUAGUAAUCGGAUAUCAGCAAUGAUCCGGUGAAUACGUUCCCGGGCCUUGUACACACCGCCCGUCAAGCCAUGGAAGAUGGGAGUACCUGAAGUCGAUAACCGCAAGGAGUCGCCUAGGGUAAUACCGUUGACUGGGGCUAAGUCGUAACAAGGUA